rnacentral:rRNA from 1 species
CUACGGGGGGCUCCAGUGGGGAAUAUUGGACAAUGGGGGAAACCCUGAUCCAGCAAUGCCGCGUGUGUGAAGAAGGCCUGCGGGUUGUAAAGCACUUUCGGUUGGGAGGACUGCUUCUAGCACUAAUAUUGUUGGAAGUUGACGUUACCUUCAGAAGAAGCACCGGCUAACUCCGUGCCAGCAGCCGCGGUAAUACGGAGGAUGCAAGCGUUAAUCGGAAUUACUGGGCGUAAGCGCGCGUAGGCGGCUAGAUCAGUCGGGUGUGAAAGCCCCGGGCUUAACCUGGGAACUGCAUCCGAUACUGUCUAGCUUGAGUACAGGAGAGGAGAGUGGAAUUCCACAUGUAGCGGUGAAAUGCGUAGAUAUGUGGAGGAACACCAAUGGCGAAGGCAGCUCUCUGGCCUGAUACUGACGCUGAGGUGCGAAAGCGUGGGGAGCAAACAGGAUUAGAUACCCCAGUAGUC